rnacentral:rRNA from 1 species
GUACGGGAGGCAGCAGUGGGGAAUAUUGGACAAUGGGCGAAAGCCUGAUCCAGCAAUACCGCGUGUGUGAAGAAGGCCUUAGGGUUGUAAAGCACUUUCAAUUGGGAGGAAAAAACAGAGGUCAAUACCCUCUGUCUUGACAUUACCUUUAGAAGAAGCACCGGCUAACUCCGUGCCAGCAGCCGCGGUAAUACGGAGGGUGCAAGCGUUAAUCGGAAUUACUGGGCGUAAAGAGUGCGUAGGCGGCUCGUUAAGUCAGAUGUGAAAGCCCUGGGCUCAACCUGGGAACUGCAUUUGAAACUGGCGAGCUAGAGUUGAGUAGAGGUAAGUGGAAUUUCAGGUGUAGCGGUGAAAUGCGUAGAUAUCUGAAGGAACACCAGUGGCGAAGGCGACUUACUGGACUCAAACUGACGCUGAGGUACGAAAGCGUGGGUAGCAAACAGGAUUAGAAACCCGAGUAGUCCC